CCGGCGGGCGGAGGGAGAGGAGGAACCGGCAGAAACAGCCGAGUCACGAGCCGGGCCCUGCGGGGCGAGGGGCGGCCAGGCGGGGGAGCUGUCAGCGGCGCCGCUCUCUGCCUUCCGUGCCUUUGGAAAGGCUUUGGUGUAUAAUUCACACAGUAAGGCCUGUGCGGGAUGCUGCACGCGGAAUCCUUGCGUUGCUAACCCGCUUCACAAUACUGCAAGAAACGUGCACUGCUCUGUCAGUUCAACAUCCCAACAGCAGGCGACUGUGUGACCUUCAUAUACCAUUGAAGCAGUGUGAUGUCAGGUUCCUCUCCUAAACGUUGUGCUAGAAGUGUGAACCUUGCUGAAGUUGCUAGUAUCUUGUUCUGACACAGAAGCCAGCACCAGGGGCUAAAAUGGAAUGAAAUAAUUACAUAAAUAUACACUGUGGCUUCAGUUGGUGUUAAAAAAAAAUAUAAUAAAAGAAGGAACGGCGAGGAAGGUAAGAAACUUCCCUCUGAUGAUUUCUCAAGAACAGUUUCACUUCACUGUAGCACCUCAUUAGUCUCCUUAUCCCACUGACAUUUAGGAAUCCUACAGGCUGAUUUAGUAGAGAGUCACAGAUGCUCAUGGUACUCCUUAGUGCCUUUUUGCUUAUUUUGCCUUGCUUGCUUUAACUGUAUAUCUUCCAGUGUCAUUCAGCACCUUUUCAGGCAGGAGGGAAACACAAAACAAAACAGAACAAAACAAAAAGCCUGGAAGCAGUAUAAGUAAAGUCUAGGCACAACAAGGUCACAAGCCCAUUCUGAGGCUGUGGGGAUAUCAGAGAUUUUAUGCUCCCAGGGCAGAGCAAGUCGAAGGCCCUACAAUGUUCUUGUCGUUUUGGUGCCCUCUGCUGAAACAACCAUCUGUUCGGCUUCUGAAUCCUCCGUGGGGAGGGCCAAGAGCCUAUGUCAAGUGCCAUAUGCUGCUACCUCUUUAUCUUGUAGUUCAGUUCCUUUUUAUUUCCUUUUCUAUCUCAACAAAAAGCAGCACCAUUUUUUUCCUUUGCUUCCUUCAGUAGUACUUCUGUUGUGAAAUCUCUUCUCUUCCUUACUAACAUUGUUGCACAGGAGUUUGCAACAGCCUUUCCCUGAG